CCUACGGGCUGCAGCAGUGGGGAAUAUUGCACAAUGGGGGAAACCCUGAUGCAGCGACGCCGCGUGAGUGAAGAAGUAUUUCGGUACGUAAAGCUCUAUCAGCAGGGAAGAAAUACUGACCUUUCGGUCAUCAGCCGGUACUUGCUUAAAAAGCCCCGGUUAAAUACGUGCCACCAGCAGCGGUAAUACGUAGGGGGCAAGCGUUUUCCGGAUUUACUGGGUGGAAAGGGAGCGUAGACGGCAGCGCAAGUCUGGAGUGAAAUCCCAUGGCUUAACCCUGGAACUGCUUUGGAAACUGUGCAGCUGGAGUGCAGGAGAGGUAAGCGGAAUUCCUAGUGUAGCGGUGAAAUGCGUAGAUAUUAGGAGGAACACCAGUGGCGAAGGCGGCUUACUGGACUGUAACUGACGUUGAGGCUCGAAAGCGUGGGGAGCAAACAGGAUUAGAUACCCCUGUAGUC
rnacentral:rRNA from 1 species